rnacentral:rRNA from 1 species
AGCAGCCGCGGUAAUUCCAGCUCCAAUAGCGUAUAUUAAAGUUGUUGCAGUUAAAAAGCUCGUAGUUGAAUUUCGGGAUCAAUACGUCGGUCGUGCCUCUGGUAUGUACUGGUGUUAUUGAUUUCUCCCUUCUGAUGAAUCAUGAUGUCAUUAAUUUGGUGUUGUGUGGAGUCAGGACUGUUACUUUGAAAAAAUUAGAGUGUUUAAAGCAGGCUCACGCCUGAAUACAUUAGCAUGGAAUAAUGAAAUAGGACGUUCGAUCCUAUUUUGUUGGUUUCUAGGAUCAACGUAAUGAUUAAUAGGGAUAGUUGGGGGCAUUAGUAUUCAAUUGUCAGAGGUGAAAUUCUUGGAUUUAUUGAAGACUAACUACUGCGAAAGCAUUUGCCAAGGAUGUUUUCAUUAAUCAAGAACGAAAGUUAGGGGAUCGAAGACGAUCAGAUACCGUCGUAG